AGAGAGAGAGAGAGAGAGAGAACAAUGAAUGAAACAUCACUAGAGAGAGAGAGAGAGAGAGAGCGAACAAUGAAUGAAACAUCACUGUCCAUGUCACUAUGAAAUGUUGGUUACUUGAUCUUGCUAUUGUAGAGUAAGAGAGAGUGAGAGAAACCACUUUUUAAGUCAAUUAAAUAUAUGGGUACAAAAUGUGUGGUAUAAUAAAUGUGGUCACCAACAUUGUUUUGUCGCGUUUCUUCUACGCUUUUGUGUUCAUAAAUAGGAUGAAGGAUGUAAUUAAUAAAUUCUAGGUUUUAUAUGCAAAUUUUAAUGCAAUAUUUCUACUUGAAAACUAGUAAAAUGUGAUGAAUUUUCUAAGUUAUCAUCCUAGGUUUUAUAUGCUUCCGACAUGUACGUUGAAGUAAUUUAAUAAUAUUUUUUUAAUCUAGAUGAGUAUAAUUUGUCGAUUGUCUCAACAUUAGCCGCACAAUAUGUCGUUGUAAAAUAGUUUAAAACUAUUAAAUUAUUAAAUUUGGUAAAAUUUUUUAGUGUAGCCUAUAGUCGAGGAGGUCCCCCUACAUUUUUUCUAAUCUACAACUUUGCACAGUGAUAAACAGGACAUAUUAUUAUUAUAUUAAUUAUGACACGACAAAGCUGUCCUAUUGAAGAUGAUACAAAUUUGACCAUUUAUGCAUACUAUAUAUAUAUAUAUUACUGUGUAGGAUAAAUUACAUUUUUUACUCUCAAAUUAUGAGACGCGUGGUAUUUUUUAUUUUUAAAUUUUAAUUUUCGAAAUUAUUAGAAUUAAGUCUCUCACAACACAGUUUAGCCAGACUUUGACUAUGAAAAUUUUAAAAAUUUAAAUUUAAAAAUUAUAAUAAAUAAAAAUUUGACAACUAAAGCGUGACGUGCCUUAUAGUUUGAGAGAAAGGAAAGUGUUUGUGGUGCAUGUACCUAAUCCUGUACCUUUGUUGGUGCUUAAGAGCCAUCAUGGAUUCAAUGCCAAUAGUAUUGGUCAAUGAAUGGCACUUAUUGGCAGGUGCACCAAUAGUAAUCUCCUUGUCCUUUUUAGGCGAUUCUACAUUUCUACUAUGUAAUAACUCAUGUGGUCCUCUAUACAAAUUGCUCAUUAGUUCUUUCAAAUUUGUUUUAUUUUUCAUUUCUUAUUUACCUUUUCCUGUCUCUUUUCUUUUAAAGAGUUACCUUUUUUCACAUACAAUUUUGAUUGAAUUAUUAUUUGUAUUUACCUUUUCCUUUCUCUUUUCUUUUAAAGAGUUCCCUUUUUGACAUACAAUUUUGAUUGAAUUAUUUGUAUGUAGAUUACUCUAAAGGUGUGUUUGGUUCGCACUAUGAAAGAUUACUUAGAGUAAAAUGAUAUACAAGAAUCUUACUUCUAUUCAUUCUAUUACUAGAAAUAUAGUAUUUCAGUGUUUGAUUCAUACGGUCAUAUUAUUUAGUCAAUAUUAUUUAAGAUUACGAAAAAUAUAUAAUUAAUUAAUUAAUUUUUUUAAUUAAUUUUAAAUAAUACUAUAAAAAAAUUUCAACAUCUUUUUAGAAAAAAGAGAGAGAGAAUAUAGAUUAGAAAGAGAGAGAGCAUAAUUAAAGAAAUAGAAAGAGAAAUAGAGUCGAGAUUAGAGAGAAUGAGAGGGUUGAGAUUUUAGAAAAAGAGGGGAGAAAUAGCUUAGUUUAGAAAGAGAAAAAGAGUUGAAGUUUAGAGAGAAAAAGAUAAGUUUAGAGAGAGAUAUGAGGUUUAGAAUGUAUAGAAAAAUAAUACAAACUAGCCGGCGGGUAGGAAGAAAGAAAGAGAUUAGACAUAUUAUAAUUAUCCCAAUUCAUUAAUAUAAGGAUACCCACUCUCACUCAGAGGAAUGAGAUUAGUACUUUGGGAUGCAUCUCAUUCCCAAGUAAAUUAAAUAUUACCAACUAGAUUACUUAGUUUAUUUAGCCAAACAUCGUCAUAAUUUUUUAUUUUUAUUAGAUUAUUAGAAAUCUUAAAAAAAUAGCGCAAACCAAAUGCACCCCAAGGUUCAUCCAUAUAUCUAAGUAUAUUUUAAUUGUGACGUGCUGAAAGAAAGUUAUUAAGAAUAAUCAUUAAAGAGGGGGACUAUCUUUUGGAAUAACUAAUUGGAAUCGCUAUCUAAGUGGAGUGAUUACAAAAGUACAUGCGGUAUGCUUUUGCAGAUGUAUAAGUUUGCACUUUACAGGUCGUUGGUGUCAUUAAAUUUUCAAUCUUCAGACGAAAAGAUGUGCGGCUAAGAUAAUAGAGGUUCCUCGGGGUUGAGUGGAUGGUUGGUUUAUAUAGUAUUUUUGUUCAUUUUGAUCGUUGGAUAAUCUAGUCCUUUUUUCGGGUUUAUCUAGAUGGCGAGAAACUGUUUUUCUUUUUCUAGAUCUUUUGUUCGACUUAUUGAUUGCAUUGUUCAAGUUGUACUUUUUUUGCUCAUUUGUAUAUAGCCAAUUAUGCUUCUGAUCCUAUCAAUGGUAUAAUAGCUCUUUGUACUCUCUGUGUUUUAUAUCUGUAUGUAUGUAUGUAUGUGUGUUUAUGUAUGAUAGUGGUCGCGGGUUAGUUUUCUAGCGGUCCCCUUUGGUUGAUUUUGUGUCGUUGGUUUAUACUAUUAAACCAAUAACUCAUUCAACCCUAGGGUGGCCACAUGAUCUUAACCGGUAGAUUUUUUCAUCCAAUGGUCGAAAACUUAAUAGUACCAAUGGUUUGGUGCUAUUGAUUGUAUUGUAGCCGGACUAUAUAUAUUUAUAUAUAUAUAUAUACUGGUAUACUACCGGUAGCACGGAGACCUCCGUGCUACCAAGUUGUUUUCAAUGAUGCGGCUUACAAAUCGACGAUCGGCUCCGUUAGACUUGAUCUACACUAUUGAAAGCAUUUAGAAACUAAAUUUCAUAAUUUUUCGGCAUCAUUUACGUAUCAAACGAGUAGUCUAAAAAUGAACGGCUGAAAAUAAAAAUCUUAUAAAAAAUGAUGAUAAAAGACUUGAAUUUAAAAUCAGAGGUGCUGAUCUUACUCUAAAUAAUGAAAAGAAUUUUCUAUAAAAAUUUCAUCAUAUUUGACUUGUUUUACACCGUUAAAUUCACAAAUGUAUCACAUCUACCAUUAAAAUUGUCAAUUUUGAGACCUUUUGAUCACUAGCCAAAUAAUGUCGAAAAAUUAUGAAAUUUAGUUUCCAAACACUAUUAAUAGUGUAGAUCAAGUCUAACGGAGCCGAUCGUCGAUUUGGAAGCCGCAUCAUUGAAAACAACUUGGUAGCACGGUGGCCUCUGUGCUACCGAUAGUAUACCAGCCUAACUCUACAUAUAAAUAUAUAUAGUUCGGCUGGAAUACAAUCAAUAGCACCAAACUAUUGGUGCUAUUAGGUUUUUGGCCUUUGGAUGAAAAAAUGUACGGUUAAGAUGAUGUGGGCCCCCUAGGGUUGAAUGAGUUAUUGGUUUAAUAGUAUAAUCUAACGAGUGAAAAUAGUCAAAGGGUUUCGUUAGAAAACUCUCUCUCUCUCUCUUUUAUAUAUAUAUAUAUAUAUAUAUAUAUAUAUAUAUAUAAAAGAGAGAGAGAGAGAGAGUUAUUAUCCCAUGUGGAUCAGAAUUAUUAUUGGGUUUAUACCAAUGAGCAAAAAAAGUACAACUUGAACAAUGAAUUAAUAAGUCGAACAAAAGCUCUAGAAAAAGAAAAAGGGUUUCUUGCUCUAGAUAUGCUCGAAAAAAGGACUAGAUUAUGCAAUGAUGAAAAUGAACAAAAAUACUAUAUAUAUAUAUAUAGAGAGAGAGAGAGUUGAGCUGGAAUACUAUCGGUAGCAAACUGGCUCCGUUGCCACCCAUUUGUUUUCGAUAAUAGAGCCUUCAAAUCGACGAUCGGCACCGUUGAAAAUGAUCUAUACCACUUUAAAUAUUUAGAAAUCAAAUUUCAUACUUUUUCGAUAUUGUUUUCUUGUCCAUCAAGUGGGCGUAAAAAUGAAUGGCUGAAAAUGAAUAUUCUCUAAAAAGUGAUGAUAAAAAUUUUAUAAUCAUGAUCGAGAGUAUAGAUCUUGUUCUAAGUAGUUUAAAGAAUUUUCCAACCAAAAUUCAAUUGAUUUGGAUAGCUUUACACCGUUAAACGAGAAAACCCCUCAUAUCAACCAUUAAAAUUACUAAUUUUGAAACCCUUUGAUCAUUAGGUAAAUGAUGUCGAAAAGAUUUGAAAUUUGAUUUCUAGAUACGUCAAGUGAUAUAGAUCAUGUUCAACGGUGUUGAUCGUCGAUUUGAAAGCUCCAUCAUCGAAAACAAAUGGGUGGCAACGGAGCCCGUUUGCUACCGAUAGCAUUCCAGCUCAACUAUAUAUAUAUAUAUAUAUAUAUAUAUAUAUAUAUAUCAAUAGUACAAAGCCCUUGGUACUAUUGAGUUUUUAGCCGUUGGAUGAAAGGAUGUGCGGUUAGGAUGAUAGUGGUCCCCGGUUAAAUUGAUAGCGGUCCCCUAGGGUCAAGGGCCAAAAAUUUAAUACCACCAAUAACUUGGUAUUGUUGAGAGAGAGAGAGAGAGAGAGAGAGUCCGGCUGGGAUACUAUCGAUAGCACCAAGUAUUUGGUGCUAUCGAGUUUCCGCCGUAAGAUUUAACCCUUUAAUUAUUUUUACCCGUUAGAUUAUACUAUAUAUUUAACUAACUACUCACUCAACCCUAGAGGGCCCACAUCAUCCUAACCACACAUUUCUCAAUCUAAGGGCUAAAAAAUUAAUAGCACAAAUAGCUCGGUGCUAUUUUUAGUAUUCCAGCUUAGUNUUCAUACGGUCAUAUUAUUUAGUCAAUAUUAUUUAAGAUUACGAAAAAUAUAUAAUUAAUUAAUUAAUUUUUUUAAUUAAUUUUAAAUAAUACUAUAAAAAAAUUUCAACAUUUUUUUAGAAAAAAGAGAAAGAGAAUAUAGAUUAGAAAAAGAGAGCAUAAUUAAAGAAAUAGAAAGAGAAAUAGAGUCGAGAUUAGAGAGAAUGAGAGGGUUGAGAUUUUAGAAAAAGAGGGGAGAAAUAGCUUAGUUUAGAAAGAGAAAAAGAGUUGAAGUUUAGAGAGAAAAAGAUAAGUUUAGAGAGAGAUAUGAGGUUUAGAAUGUAUAGAAAAAUAAUACAAACUAGCCGGCGGGUAGGAAGAAAGAAAGAGAUUAGACAUAUUAUAAUUAUCCCAAUUCAUUAAUAUAAGGAUACCCACUCUCACUCAGAGGAAUGAGAUUAGUACUUUGGGAUGCAUCUCAUUCCCAAGUAAAUUAAAUAUUACCAACUAGAUUACUUAGUUUAUUUAGCCAAACAUCGUCAUAAUUUUUUAUUUUUAUUAGAUUAUUAGAAAUCUUAAAAAAAUAGCGCAAACCAAAUGCACCCCAAGGUUCAUCCAUAUAUCUAAGUAUAUUUUAAUUGUGACGUGCUGAAAGAAAGUUAUUAAGAAUAAUCAUUAAAGAGGGGGACUAUCUUUUGGAAUAACUAAUUGGAAUCGCUAUCUAAGUGGAGUGAUUACAAAAGUACAUGCGGUAUGCUUUUGCAGAUGUAUAAGUUUGCACUUUACAGGUCGUUGGUGUCAUUAAAUUUUCAAUCUUCAGACGAAAAGAUGUGCGGCUAAGAUAAUAGAGGUUCCUCGGGGUUGAGUGGAUGGUUGGUUGAAUAGUACAAUCUGAAAGUUGGAAAUAGUCAAAAGGGUUAAUCUAAUGGCGAAAAACUGAAUAGCACAACAUCGUUGGUGCUAUUGAUAGCAUUGUAGUCGAACUAUAUAUAUAUAUAUAUAUAGAAUUAUGCUACUAUACUAUCAAUAGUACAAAGCCCUUGGUACUAUUGAGUUUUUAGCCGUUGGAUGAAAGGAUGUGCGGUUAGGAUGAUAGUGGUCCCCGGUUAAAUUGAUAGCGGUCCCCUAGGGUUGAGUGGGUGGUUGGUUUAAUAGUAUAAUCUAACGGGUGGAAAUGAUCAACAGGUAGAUCUAAUGGUAGAAAACUCAAUAGUACCAAGGACUUGGUACUAUCGAUAGUAUAGUAGCCGGACUAUAUAUAUAUAUAUAUACUGGUAUACUACCGGUAGCACGGAGACCUCCGUGCUACCAAGUUGUUUUCAAUGAUGCGGCUUACAAAUCGACGAUCGGCUCCGUUAGACUUGAUCUACACUAUUGAAAGCAUUUAGAAACUAAAUUUCAUAAUUUUUCGGCAUCAUUUACGUAUCAAACGAGUAGUCUAAAAAUGAACGGCUGAAAAUAAAAAUCUUAUAAAAAAUGAUGAUAAAAGACUUGAAUUUAAAAUCAGAGGUGCUGAUCUUACUCUAAAUAAUGAAAAGAAUUUUCUAUAAAAAUUUCAUCAUAUUUGACUUGUUUUACACCGUUAAAUUCACAAAUGUAUCACAUCUACCAUUAAAAUUGUCAAUUUUGAGACCUUUUGAUCACUAGCCAAAUAAUGUCGAAAAAUUAUGAAAUUUAGUUUCCAAACACUAUUAAUAGUGUAGAUCAAGUCUAACGGAGCCGAUCGUCGAUUUGGAAGCCGCAUCAUUGAAAACAACUUGGUAGCACGGNNNNNNNNNNNNNNNNNNNNNNNNNNNNNNNNNNNNNNNNNNNNNNNNNNNNNNNNNNNNNNNNNNNNNNNNNNNNNNNNNNNNNNNNNNNNNNNNNNNNNNNNNNNNNNNNNNNNNNNNNNNNNNNNNNNNNNNNNNNNNNNNNNNNNNNNNNNNNNNNNNNNNNNNNNNNNNNNNNNNNNNNNNNNNNNNNNNNNNNNNNNNNNNNNNNNNNNNNNNNNNNNNNNNNNNNNNNNNNNNNNNNNNNNNNNNNNNNNNNNNNNNNNNNNNNNNNNNNNNNNNNNNNNNNNNNNNNNNNNNNNNNNNNNNNNNNNNNNNNNNNNNNNNNNNNNNNNNNNNNNNNNNNNNNNNNNNNNNNNNNNNNNNNNNNNNNNNNNNNNNNNNNNNNNNNNNNNNNNNNNNNNNNNNNNNNNNNNNNNNNNNNNNNNNNNNNNNNNNNNNNNNNNNNNNNNNNNNNNNNNNNNNNNNNNNNNNNNNNNNNNNNNNNNNNNNNNNNNNNNNNNNNNNNNNNNNNNNNNNNNNNNNNNNNNNNNNNNNNNNNNNNNNNNNNNNNNNNNNNNNNNNNNNNNNNNNNNNNNNNNNNNNNNNNNNNNNNNNNNNNNNNNNNNNNNNNNNNNNNNNNNNNNNNNNNNNNNNNNNNNNNNNNNNNNNNNNNNNNNNNNNNNNNNNNNNNNNNNNNNNNNNNNNNNNNNNNNNNNNNNNNNNNNNNNNNNNNNNNNNNNNNNNNNNNNNNNNNNNNNNNNNNNNNNNNNNNNNNNNNNNNNNNNNNNNNNNNNNNNNNNNNNNNNNNNNNNNNNNNNNNNNNNNNNNNNNNNNNNNNNNNNNNNNNNNNNNNNNNNNNNNNNNNNNNNNNNNNNNNNNNNNNNNNNNNNNNNNNNNNNNNNNNNNNNNNNNNNNNNNNNNNNNNNNNNNNNNNNNNNNNNNNNNNNNNNNNNNNNNNNNNNNNNNNNNNNNNNNNNNNNNNNNNNNNNNNNNNNNNNNNNNNNNNNNNNNNNNNNNNNNNNNNNNNNNNNNNNNNNNNNNNNNNNNNNNNNNNNNNNNNNNNNNNNNNNNNNNNNNNNNNNNNNNNNNNNNNNNNNNNNNNNNNNNNNNNNNNNNNNNNNNNNNNNNNAUAUAUAUAUAUAAUUUUUUGCCGUUAGAUUAACCCUUUGAUUAUUUUUACUCGUUAGAUUAUACGAUUCAACCAACUACCCACUCAACCCUAGGGGGUCACAUUAUCCUAACCGCACAUCUUUUAAUCCAAAAGCGGAAAACUUAAUAGCACCAAGUCAUUGGUGCUAUUAAUAGUAUUCCAGCUUAGUUCUCUCUCUCUCUCUCUCUCUCUCUCUCUAUCUAUAUAUAUAUAUAGAGAGAGAGAAAGAGAGAGAAGGGUUACUGUGCAAUUAGGAGGCUAUUAUAAUAUCUAUAGUACCGAUGUUUCAGUACUAUAAUCUCGUUUUUGAUCUUAUUCAACGAUUUACACCAUUAAAUAUGAUUUAGGGUAUAUGGAGUUUUUAGGAAUAAAAUUUUAAUUUUUUUUUCUAUAUCAUUUACUUAGUGAUUAAAUCAUGUCAAAAUAAAUGGUAGAAAUUAAACAAUCUUUAAAAUUUAAGAAUAUGACUUUUGAAUUCACGAUUAAGAAUGGAACUUGAUCUAGAUAGUUAAAAAUAUUUUCUAUUAAAAUUUAAAUAAAUUUAUAUUCUUUUAUACUGUUAAACUAUAAACUCGUCAUAUUGGCAACUAAAAAAUGAUAAUUUUGAAAUUGCUUGAUCAUAAAAUAAAUUAUGUCGAAAAAAUAUAAAAUUUUAUUUCUAAAAAUUUUAAAUACCCUAGAUCAUUUUUAACUGUGUGCAUCGUUGGUUUGAAUAUUCUAAGAUUGAAAACGAGAUUAUAAUACCGGAACUCCUUACUAUGGAUAUUACAUAAGCCUAGAGCUCUCUUUAUAUAUAUAGAGUCUGAAUAGGGUUCUUCUAAUAGCACCAAGCACUUGGUGCUACCCAGUUUUCCGCUGUUAGAUCUACCCUUUUGACCAUUUCCACAUGUUAGAUCAUACUGUUCAACCAACUACUCACUCAAUCUUAGAGAAUCACUAUCAUCCUAAAGACUACGCUCAUCAUGUUUUUUCUUUUGUAUACAAUUCACAGGAACCGCACAUCCUUUCAUCUAAGAGCCGAAAACCUAAUAACACCAAUAAUUUGAAGCUAUUGAAAGCAUUCCAGUCUAAUUUUAUAGAGUCUGGCUAAUGUGCUUCUAAUGACACCAGGCACUUAGGGUGUGUUUGGUUGGCUUCUUUUUCAUCCCGGAAUCGGAAUUGGAAUGGGUAAAUACGUUUGUGGGUGUUUGGUACGCGGGAGUCUCAUUCUGAUUCCGAUUCCCGAGUGGAAUGGGAAUCCCCCAAUCACCUCUUUUUUCAAGCCGGCCUAGGAGGCCAGAUUGGAAGUUGAAUCCCGAUGGAAUGGAUAUUUAUACGGAUUAAAUUUAUUUUUUCAAUUUUUUUAAUUAAAAUAUGAGUUAAAAUUUAAAAAUUAAAUAUAUAAUUUUAAAUUUUAAUUUGAACUUAAAUUAAAAAUUAAAAUUUAAUCAAGUAUUUCGAAUCUAACUUAUGAAUGUGAAUUUAAAUUAAAUUUUAAUUUAUAUAAAGUUUUAUUCAAAUUUUAUUUCAAACUUAAAUUAAAUAUAUGGAUUCAAAUUAAAAUUUAAAUUGUAAUUUUAAGUUUGAAUUUGAAUAAAUCAAAAUUUUAGUUUCAUAUUUUGAAUUAUCCACUUAACUUCAAAGUUUAUUUUUUUAAAAAAAAAUAGAUUUAAAAUUUUGACAUUAUUUCAAAAUUUUGAUGUAAAUUUUUAAUAUUUAAUAUUUAAUUUGAAUUUAAAUUAAUAUAUUAUAAAGAUAAUGUUAGUAUAUUAAUUUGAUUACGUUUUUCAUAUCCACCUGAACCAAACACCGAUAAUGGGAAUGAUUUAUUCCGAUUCCGAUUCGAGUGAUAAACCAAACAGAAUUUGGUAAUGAGUCAUUCCGAUUCCGAUUCCAGCUUAUUUUGAUUCCGAUUUCGAUUUCGAUUCCGACUACGAACCAAACAUGCCCUUAAUGUUACCAAGUUUUCGGCCAUUAGAUUUAUCAUUUUAACCAUUUUCAUCAGUUAAAUUAUACUCUUCAACCAACUACUCACUCAAUUCUAGAAGACCACUAUCAUUCUAACAGCACAUUCCUUCAUCCAAGGGCCAAAAAUUUAAUACCACCAAUAACUUGGUAUUGUUAGAAAUAUUUCAAUCUAAUUAUUGUUAUUAUUAUUAUUAGAAUCCGGCUGGGAUACUAUCGAUAGCACUAAGGAUUUGGUGCUAUUGAGUUUUCUACCGUUAAAUUUAACCCUAUGAUUAUUUUUAUCCGUUAGAUUAUACUAUUCAACUAACCACUCACUCAACCCUAGGGGAUUCACAUCAUCUUAACGGCACAUUUCUCAAUCUAAGAACUAAAAAACUAUUAGCACUAAUAGCUUGAUGCUAUUGAUAGUAUUUCAGUCUAUUUUUUAUUAUUAUAUGACAAUUGAGGAUGUAAUUAAUAAGGCAAGAACCAAGAAGGGGAGUUUCAUGCGCGUCGACUCCUCUCGAGAAAAAAGUCCAAGUGGAAUACUCACCAGUAAAGUAAAAAGGAGGAGAGCAUUUUUUAUGUGGGGGGUAAUGUUGUGGGUUCUAUUGGUGUUGGGAUCCACAUCAUCAAUACCUUGUCCAAUGAAUAAAUAUAAGAAUAAUAAAUAUGACAAUAGCUUAGUGGGUUCUUCACUUGCCUUAAAAGGUUAUAUUCCACGUGGAAAUAAUAAUUUUCUAUCAAAAACUUAAAUCUUAUUUAUAUUAUUUUUUAAAUAAUUUUUUUAAUCACCUCGAUAGAAUUUACCUUUUUUUUUUGGACAGGCGAUAAAUUGUUCUCUCCUCGUGAUCAGAUGAACAUACUUUUCAGACUCCACCUAACAAACUAUGGGAAGUCCAAAAAAUCUGUACGAGGGAUUGAUUGGAUGCAUCUCAUACUAAUAAAAUUUUGUGUCGGAUCGUUGACGCUAAUCAUUAAUUUUAAAAAUUCGAGCUACAGAAAAGAUACAAUUAAUUCACUUAAAUCGUACAGACAUAGCGCCCGUGAAUUUUGAUUGUAAUUCGUCUCAACCAGUCUCUUGCAGUUUCGAACAUGACUCAACCCAAUCAGACAUAGAGCAGAAUGCUGGCUCCUUUAAGCCAAUAUUUUUAAUCCAAAUUAUUGUACUAUUUUUUAAAUAAUUUUUAAAUUAUAAAGUAUUAGUUAUUUUGAUAGUGGGAAUGAAACCACUAUGUCAGAUGCUUUGUUUCGUACUAGGCCUACCUUCUAGCAUAGUUUCUCUAAUAUGCAUCGAUAAAAAUAUCUAGAGCUUUUGAUGUGAUAAAGUUAAAAUCAGAUCUUAAGCCCCAAAUUGCGGCAAAAGUUUUAAUCCGAAUCUUUUAUCUAGGUAGUCUAGAGCCAAUCUAGAAAGAUCUUAAUGUGAACAUAUAUAUAUAUAUAUAUUUCAAAUAGUUCUACUCAAAUAAUCCUUUAGGUAAAGUUCCAAAUGACGCCUCCGAUUAUUUCAUGAAACAUGACAGCAAGUAGCUAGUCUCUUGAUUCUGUAUAGGUAGUACUCAGUAGAUCAAAUUCAAAUUAUCGACUAAAUCGAUACUUAUAACCUGAUAUACAACAAGAUAAAAUUGUUAUUUCGCAGUUUCACAACAAUGAAAUUCACAAACACAAUUUAUGCUCAUAUUGAUUGGCAACGUGCUGCAGCCACCUAUCUUGUUCUUUUCCUUUAAGGAAGAGACUCUGCUCAGUAAUUCUAAAGAAUCUGCACCUGGAGAAGGCCUUUUCAGAGCACUGUUCACCUAAACUGUUGAUGGAAGGGCCAAUAACACUAGUGGGGAAGCCUUUUUUGUUAGUUUAAACACCUAUUUUAGUUUAUUUUUAGUAGGUUAGAUUCUUCGAUAUCGAAGAACCUAACGGUAACCAAUGAUGGGAUCUGAUCUUAGGUUGUGCAAGCUUUUGCCGACGGUAAUGACGUCGGCCUCCUCAUUCAUACUCGACCAUUAGUUUUUGAGGAUUAAAAACCUGAGUGAUUACAGUAGAUGAUUAAAUCUCGCCUCCUCGAAGGUAAUAAAAGUAGGUCAUCAAAUUGGUGGAUCUGAUUCGAAGGCCACAUCGAACGGUGCGUCACAUUGUUGCUUGUUAUUUUUUAUUUAGAUACAGAGGAUAUUUCAAAAAGAUUUAUUAAUAUUACUUUUUACGUAUACUGUGCGGGUAUCAGCCCCACGACAAGUCAAUAAGAUAAGAUAAGAAAGACAGAAGGGAGAAAUUUUACUCAGUUUAGAAGCAACUCUUGCAAUAGAAAGAAAAUGAAAAAAUGAUCAGCUUGUGACUAUGAAGGUAAAUGGAAAAAAAAAACAAGAGAUAUUUUAAACAUGAAACCCAUUAAUAUGUUCACAAUUUGGAUCUCGCUGAGAGCAGGAAUAGUUUGUAAGUGAUUAAGAAAAAAAAAAAAGAAAGAAAAAGAUUAAAAAAACAAAAGCCAUGAGCCAGAACAGAUACUCAAAACAGCAGCAAUAUUAUGUACCAUGAAACUCCAUGUUUAGGCCCUGGACUUAGCAAUCUAAAGAAGUUUCACUUGCACUUGAAUACACUAACCAGGUAAAUUAAAAAGGGUGAUAAACCUUUCUUUCAUGUAAAUCUCUGAGCACUUUAAUUAACACUUUGAGUAUAUUGUUGUCACCAUUCAUUCAGAUUAAACUAAUUGAGAACAAAGCAACAUGCUUGCAUCAACAGGCACCUCUUGGAGAUUAACAUAGUACAGCUCAACUGUGGACCCCAAAAGCCCCAAAAAAACAAAAAAAAGAUCUCUUUGUGCUUCAUAUGUGGCUGCCACUAUUAACCUAAACAUUUCAUCUUAUCUUCUUUACUUUACUAUUUAUAAUUUCCCUUUUCCAACAUGCAAAAUGUUUACGUACGAUAUAGCGAUGUUUAACAACAUGCUUCUUAAACAAUGCCAUUAGAAGAAAUAUUAUACAAUUAUCUACCUAACAGCUUUUCCAUACAGCAGCGUUAGAAGCUUCAAACUAAAACACCAGCUUUUCCAUACAGUGCAAGCUAAGAACUUCUUUCAACAAAUACUAUAUUUCCAAAUACAUAACAUGUGCCACAUAUAGUUUUGUUGAAAGAAAGAUGAUUUUCAUAGAUCAUAGACCGACAGCGCGGAGCCAAUUCAAGUUUAUAUUGAUUGUUUUGCCUCUAAAGCAGUUAAUAAUAGCCCUCAAAAGUGAUUCUGUCGCAAUCAAAAUCGUGUCUUAAUAUCGGCCACCUUAUUGAAAGCCAUUUGGGGAUUAAUCUCCUUAGAGUGGUUCCAGAUUCUUCUUGUAGAUUCACUUAUAUCUGACUUUGAAUUAGUGAAAAAGCUAGCUUCAAAGAAUAUGUGCCAACAGUAACAGUCCAGCUAAGUGGAUUUUUUAAGGCUGUAUCAAACAAAGGAGACAAAAUUGGGAAAAUCCAACUUAAUUUCUAAAGUUGUUUUAUUUAGAUGUAUAUAUACUUCUCAAACUACUUGCAACUAAGAAAGUAUAUUAUUAAUCAGCGGUAGCCCUCCAAUGCAGCAGUUUUUACCUGAUAUUCAAUGAAUAAUAUUACAGAAAUUAUUUUUUGUAAAAAAACAAGUAUAGAGAUUAAUUAAUUAUAAUAAAGACUAAUUCAGCUAAUUAAACAAAAACCAAGAAGUACAAACCUAACCAUCCAACAAUCUUUAUCUUACAAGGUGUUAAGUACAUCAACUAGUAAGAGUACUUGCUUAAUAUAUAAUUAAUAGAGAUGAUUACACAGUAAAAUCCUACAAUAUUAUGUAAUUACAUAUGAACAUAUACAUCUAUAUGUAUCCUCCCAAAGUGUCUGUUUCAGAAACUAGUUUUCAAAAGUAUAACAGUUCAUCGAACAUUUUUACAGUUUUGAAUUUUAUUGAGGGCAUAUUUAUUAAGCAAAAUUUUCAAAGAAUUUAUAUCUGCGAUUUUAAAAUUUUACAGGGGUGUACAUGUGUGUGUGAAAGACCUUUAAAUUAGACUAAAAUAGUGUAAGCUAUAAGAUUCUCUAGUUGUGACAGCUGACUUUUGAUUUAGUCUACAUUUGCAUAGUUUAUGAACAAUUGUCGUUUUUAUUAUUUAAAUUGAUUAAGUAUCAAUCCGAGGAAACAGUGAUGUUUCAACUAUAAAAUAAUAAUAAAAACAUUAAAUUAGAGCAAGUUUGUGUUUCUUAAUCACACUUUGAUUAGAACAUUAAGCGCACACAAUAGGCGGCCUAAUAAUUGACAAUAAAAUGAAUGUCACAACAAACAACAAAAUAUAUGCUACUCACCACCUCGAUCACAUCAACAAACUGUAACGCGCGAAUUUGACCUUUAAUAAUCCACAUGAAAUAAAACAAAGUUAAGAGCCCAUAAUGACCAACUCAUUAGCAGAUACAGAUGAAUUCAACCUAGUAUGCCACAAAUUUAUCAGAAACCACCAAUGCAAAGGAAAUAAUUACAAGAAAACAGGUACAGUAGGUGGUGAACAUCAAACAUCUUAGAAACAUUUGUUUUGGUAGCUUGUGAGAAUAUAUCCAAGGUUUAGAGUCCAUAGAGGGAGUAUUGAAGCACAGCUGUAAACUAGUUGUUGAAUCAACUGUUACCCUGUUCUCUUUUGCAGCACGAAUGUUUUUGUAGUACAUGUUGGUUUGUUGAAUUUAUUAACAAAGGAAAUUUAUUAACAAAUGUACCUUAUGUGCUGCUGAUAUGUUACUCAUAUGGAGCCAUAAAUUACAUGUCGAAACUGAUCAAUAAUCCCCUUCUGGUAAUAUAAAGUUUAGCUAGUGUAACAAUUAUGUUCUUCCUAGUUUUCAAAUGUUACAUUAAAGGCCUCAAAUUUUGACUGUCGAUUUGAGCAUAUGCGCCGACACAUCAUUGUGCAAAAACACCUGCUGAAGCUCCCACGCAACUACGCUGUGCAUGUACAGAUCGAUUCGAAAAGGUUUAAUGGCCUUUUCAUUUAAAGUCCCCCCUUCGACGGUGUAACCGAAAAGACGUAAAAUUUUGAGUUUUCGCUUUAUACACUUGAAAGCUCAUUCUGAUUUUUCCAAACUAGCCAGAAUUUAGACAUUUUUAUCUCAUAAAGAAGCUUACUUCAAAGGUCAGCUGACAUAAAAUUUUACUUUUCCUGUCUCCUUAGUCCAAAAUUAGCAACAUUUCCAACAACCACUAAUGCAGUAAAAAGCAAGCUUAUAAGAUUUCAAACCAUAAAGUAAGAACAGAAUGCUAGAACUUCUGAACAGCUAUGGAAGCACAUCUAAUAUUCUAAAAAGGGAGAAUUAGUUAAGAUUGCUAAUCAACAAUAGAUGUUUAUAUAUAUAACACUAAUAAGAUCUAAUGAAGAACAGAUAAAAAUGUCAAUGACAUCGUGCUCAGACAAGAAAGAAUAAAUUCUGCAUGAGAAGAUCGAAAAAGAGUGCAGAAAUAAAAAGAUUCACUACUUUAUAUACAGAAAAGCCAAAUGCAGAAGCAUAACAAUCCGCUUUUCAAUUGAUAACUGCAAUUGACAGAAAAUGGCUUCUCAUAUCUGCAGUUCAACUCUCUUCAUGGCAGGUUGAUCUACAGGACUGGGACGAUGUUUUAAUUCAGAUUUAGAUACAUCUUUAUUGACCUUUUGAGUAUUUGCUGAUAGGUUAACUGAAGUUCUGUUUGCUGGAUGCUUUCCUGAUUUGACACCUGCUUGUCAUUGAUAACACGUAUGUAAAAAAAAAAUCCCAACAAUUAUAGUAUGUUAUACUAUAUUAAAAGAAAAUUAGUGUCAGCCAAAGUGCAAGAUUUACUAAACCAGACUCAUAUGUGACUAUGUUGCAGUACUUAAUGAAUAGGCCUGUUUGGCCUAGUUAGAGCUUCUGUGAAAAUGUUGUUUGAGUAGAGCCUUCUGAAGAAGCAUCGCCAACGUUUCUUUCCAGCGAAAACCCCUCAAUAGCUUCCCCUUACAGAGAAGGCAGCUACGGAGACUUAGUUCCUAAAGCUAUAGACUAUUGUCAGUCGAAUACCUAGUUUUUGAAGUCUUUGCUUUAUAGGGUAAAGAAUCUACUUCAAAAGCCAGGCUAAACGGGAGCUAAAAAAUAUAUAAGGUAAUAAUAAUCCUAAUAAAUAUUAUGUUUAUCUAUGGAUGAAAUGCAGGAGAAUUAAAAGAACCAAGCAUAUAACUGAACCAAACUUACCACUGUUUGGCAAGGAUAAUCUCUUCUUUGCCUGUGAAUCAAUCUGUACCCGCCUCUCUUUUGGAUUACUAUAUGACCGAGCACCGAGUCCAGUAGGCUGAGAAACAGCUUCCUCAGAAGCCUCCUUCGAUGAUGUCUUUAGCUUUAUUUUACUUGUUGCUGAAGCAGAAGCAAGCAGAUUUGCAGACCGGCUAGAGGAGGAAGCACUUCCCUCAGAAUGUGAUGGCCCAGCUUUCUGGUUAAGCAUAUUCGAAUGAAGAGCUGAGAUGGGCUUUUUUGCCAUUGGCUUGUGCAGGGAUUUGGCUCCCUUUUCCUGUUCAUUAUCACUUACCACCACCCCUUCUUUAACAUUAAUGUCGAGAAAACGGUUUUCCCAUGGGCGAACCGCCAUCCAUCUCUCCAACCAAUUCCAGCCCCAGUUGUUCUUAUCUGGCUCAAAUCCUGCAGCAGCCACCUGUUGCCUUGAACCCGCUUGCCACUUUGAUGGGGAGAAAAGGGCAAAUCAUUUGCUCAAUUAGUUAGCAGAACUAAAAGUGGCAACAAUUAGAGCUACUAUUAUGUCAAAAUAUACAUUUAAAUGCAGUUUCUCCUCUAGUUCACAGUGAUCUGCUAUUUAGUAAUAUCUCAGUUAUUGUUAUUACAUUGGAAGAGCUAAAGGAGAAUUAGCAUGUAACAAGUUUCCUAAUAUUUCUAUUUAAAAAACAGAGAAGUCCUACAGUGUUGAAUGUGUUCUAUUAUCCUUCCGUUACUUUUAGAUUGGCAGGGUUUAAAAUUAACCUUAUUAAGAAUAAACUUAGAACUUGAUGUUUUGUUUUUACAGAAAGAUACCUGAUGAGUCAGAGCAUAUGCCAUGGCUCUCUCACGCUUGGCCGCGGCUUCUUGCCUCUUUAGUAAUUUGACCUGGAUUUCCUCCACGGAGCCUAUACUGUCACACCAUCCUCCCUGCAUUUUAAUCGUAGGUGUGAAAAUUACUUAAUAUUCAGUUGAAGAUAUUAUAUAAUGAAAGGGUCAGUCCAACUAUAAAACAAUAAUAAGAUAUUUGCUACAUUCUGACAAGUUAGAUGUUAACAGAAAAUUUUCGUUCCAAAGACUAACCAGGCAAGAACAAUUGCUAAUACAAACAUCACACAUGGCUAUAAAGCAACUAUACUGCUUAGUAAUAAGCCUAUAUCUAGAAAUUGUGCUUUUCAGCAUAAUCUGAAUAACACCAUUUAACUAAAGAAUGCUACAUACGUUGACGAAGAUAAUAGUAUCGACUAUGUAGUUUUGUAGCUCACCUCAAUUUCCCGAACACAAUCCUCAUGAGAUUGGUCCUGUUGUUGAACCUUCUUCCGGCCCAAUUGACUUUCUAAAGCCAUGCGAACUCGCCUUGCUCUAACCCGAGCCUGAACUCUUACAAGAGCUUGCAUGCACCGAAGUGUUAUAGCUGCUUGCUUUCUCACCGCAUGGCCCCUGACAAGAGCCUGAAGUCUAACCAAUCCUUUCAAAGCCCGUAAAGCUCGUCUAGCCUGGAUAGUUUCAAAUUAUCCAGAACAUUAGGAACCAAUUUGGAGAAGGCGUAUAACAUCCCAAGGUGAUAACUGAGAUGCAUGAACUGGCAUUUGUAAUGUCUGGUUUUGUAUUAUGAUAAGAAUUACAUCUAGGAGAAACUCAAUCCCAACAUAAAUGUUGAAUAAGUUCGCAAAUUAUUUCAGAUUAAGAUAGUUGUCCUUCUGAAAAAUAAUAGGUGUAACCUUAGAACAACAUACAGAAGCUAAUUCUGGUCAACAUUUAGGACUUAGUAGUAAGAAGACUUUAUUAGACAAUGUUGAGGCGUUGAGAAGAAAUUCCAAAAUAUUUUGCCAACAACAGCUCAUGAUAUUGUGCUUGGUCCUGCGAUAAAUUCUAUAGGGGUAGGUUUCUGUAUCUGUAGGUUAUCCUGCUAUCCCUGGAUAAUCUACAAUGAUUCUACAGAAUUAUAUCACCUCAUGGCUGGAAAUAUACGGUAAUUAAGGAUAAUGAUAAACUGCGGCCUAAGAGAGAAAAUACUAUACCAGGAAACCUCGAAAUGCAGUCUGAAUAACUGUGGCAGCCCAAUCCUCUUUCACAAUCUGCUCAGUUUGAGAAGACACCUGCACUUGAAGAGAGGAAGUAGGCGAGGAAGCAGGGUUCGCAGUUGACUUGAUACUGGCUUCACCAACCAAUUCCACAGUUUCAACGGUAGAUUCCUCUUCUAUUACAACACUAUCAUAGUUGAUAGAAUGUUUCCUUCGGUGUCUUGGCCGAUCACUAACAACCUUUUUCUGCAAUAUUACCAAAUCAUGAUGCAAGUAGGCAAAAAGAUGAACAGAUGCAAUAAUUGGUAUAAGAAAUACUGUAUUGCUAGUCAAACAGAGGAAUUAGGGAAAACAAAGGGAUAUAAUGGCAAGAUUGGUCUAAGCAUUACUCACAUUCUCAUCAUUCUCUGGAUGUUGCGAGUUCUCUUGUUUUCUUAGACCGACCAAUGAUUUAAGCCACUUGGUAGAAAUACCCAUGAUGGCAUCAAUUUGGGUUCAUAAGAUUAAGACCUGCAGAUAGAAGAAAAAAUAGCAAUUAUUAAUUCAUGAACUUCAGUGAUAGUUUCUUUUACAUUAAACUAUGAACAAGAAUAUUUUGUAACAAUCGCAUAAAAGGACUAAAUGAAAUGAUAUAUAAGGUGUGGCUAUAACUUUGAACUGCCCAUAGAAAUACACAAGAUUAUUUUCAAAACAAGUGAAACAUAGAAAGUAGUAUUAUUCAGUAAUGUUCCGCAGAAUCUCGACAACUUUACAUGAAGACUGCAUCUGUAAGUAGUUAUUCAGUAAAGAAUUUCAGUGGCGCUGCCUAUUAAUGAUUAUAAUAAUAAUGGGAUCUGCCUCUUCAUUUAGAAGAAAUUGCCUCACUAACUACUCAAAAUAGUUCAAGAGGUUGUAAAGUAUAAAAAUGAUCAGGAAAACCCCAAAAUGCCGUGUACUUAUGUGCGCAGUUGGCUCGUAAAGACAGUGAGGUGCUCAUCAAAUGCAUGUUGCUGGAUUUCAUUGGAUUAGUUAACAGUACUCAAGGAGAAAUGAUCAUACAUGUACAUAAACGAAUCCCCACAUUAUGGUUGGGAAGCUUUGCUUUGGCAAAAUCAUCUACAAAUUUCUCCCAAAACAGAAGCAAAGCAAGCCCCAGUUGACUACUUAAUAGCCAACAUACAACAACCUAAACUCAUGACAGGCGUGUUUUUAGAUUAAAAAUGGAAAAUAUUACAUUAAAGCUUCUACUUGACAUUGAGAAACAAACUAUCACCUAAGCUACCAUAUAAGCUUCUUUCCAAAUGUCAGCUCUAGUUAUUAAACUUAAACAGCAUUAUUCAGGAAACAGGGUCAAAUUGAAAAUGUCCUAACAAAUAAGAUGAAUCAAAUCUUUCAUAUUUGUACGCAUUUAUAAAUUUUAUUCAACUACCUUAACUGCUGAAAAACUACGGAGAGUUAAUUAGCAGAACCAAUCACAAACAUUAACAGAAGGAAAAUGCAACCCAAAUAACAGAUACCAUGUACAUAAAUUCUCCUAUCAAAAAGAACCAAUUUUGAGCCCUACACAUUACCCACCAAAUCACACCUCACUUUCAUUCAAUUUACCUCAUUAACCCAUGCCGCUUAAUACAAAGAUCUCACUACUCAAAGCAAUUAACUAAAUUUAGCCAUUCUUAAAAAGAUAAGUAAUGAAACUCAAUUAACAAAUAACAUCUAUAUCAAUUUUCCGAGCAAAAAGAACCAAUUUUACUCACGAAAGUAAAUGACACGUUCAAGUUACCUCAUCAAUCCAAGCUACUCGCUACAAAGAACUCAUUGCUCAAAUCUUCCAACAACAUUUCACCGUUAUAAAAUCCAAAAAUAUAAAAGAAGUAAAACCCAACGAUCAAAUACCAUAUCAAUUCUCCGAGCAAAAAGUUCCAAUUUUGAGCCCUACCCACCAAAUCACACCUCAUCAAAACAAGGACCCACUGAAUUUACCUCAUCAAUCGAUGCCACUCGCUACAAAGAACCCAUUCCCCAACUCUCCGAACUAAAACAGGCCAUUGUUGCGCAAAAUUGAAGCAACACAGAGGAAGCAAAGGAGAAGGGGAAGAAGAUGCAGUAGAUCCAGGAAUCCUAUGCUCAAAACAACAUCGAAUUAGAGCUAAAAAAACGGAGGAAAUAAAUCGGAUGCCCCCAUUCUCCUCGUAGCGACAUAGCACGGUACAUACCCCACACUCUCUCUCUCUCUCAUAUAUAUUUACCCCACAGUGUAGUACAUGGAUAAAAAAAAAGAGUCGCCUUUUUCACCAUCGCCUUUUUCUCGCGUUGUCGGAGGCAUAUCCCGAUAAUAAUAAUAGCUCGAGGAUAACUUACUCCGUAGAAUAAGAAUAACUUAAUUCCGCAUGUCUACGUGGCAUAUUUUUAUUGGUGGACUUCCGUGUAAUUUAUACCACGUGUCCUUGCUAGGAUUGGUUAGCUUGAAUCAAGGGAGAGGAGAAGCGGACUCUUUCACUUUGCGGUUAUUUAAACCGAAGCGGGAUUAGGUAACUAAUUCGGCGCGGUGGGUCGCCGAGGAAUUGAAAUACUCGGGAGCAAAAGAUCGGGCGCGUCCGCAUACGGUAAAUUUGUCUUAUUUGGUGGACGUUGGGUGUGGGACUGUUUCCACUGAAAUAUUUCGCUGCACCAGGUGUACAUUAUUCAUCCAAUACACCAUGACGCUCGACACUAUUCUACCGUCUUAGGUAUCUGAGAUUUCAAAUUCGAAUCUCAAUUAUUUCAUAUUUCUAAAUAAGUCUAUUUUUUUUGCAUGUCCUAAAAAAAAAAAAAGUGGAUGCUAAUAUUUUGUAAAUAACAUAAUGCAUUUUCUCUUGACAUCUGAUCUUUUAGGCUAUUCAAUUACUAGUUAAUAAAUUUCAAAAAUGUAUAAUUUUUUUAGAUGAUUAUGCUUUGAUUUUAAAAUGUUAGUAAUUAAAUAUUAAGUACAGUAUAUGAGAAAUUCCGAUAUAAUACCUUACACAUACAAUAUCAGUGAUCGUACCUCUACAAUCAAUCGAUAUGUCUCUAGCGCAAGUGGCAAAAAGCUUAGGGUCCGUUUGGAUUGACAAAUCUGUAGAUCCAACAUAAGUCAAGUGCAGUGAUAUUUGAGUUUCCCUGAAGUGUGAUUAUUUUUUGGUUGUUUGUUUUGACGUAACUCGUAUAGCUUGAAAGUUAAAUUCAAUUACUUCUUCUGUUUGUUUUGAUGUAAGUUGGUACUGGUGAAAUUAGUUUCGUGAGUUCCGUUGUUUGUUUUAAUGUAAGUAAGUGGAUAAUUAUCUCCUAAAUAUAAUAGUAAAUUUACUGUUAUAAAAUUUAACUUAUUAUAACUUAUUAUAUAAUUAAUUUUUUUAUUAUUAUUUAAAGAUAAUCCUAAUUUAUUAUAAAUAAGGUAAUUCUAAUCUAUUAUAAGGGAAGUAGAGUUUAGGUUUGACUAUUUAAUAAAUAUUUUAGAGGAGGUUGAGUAUGGUGGAAGUCGAGUUCGGCACUUUAGAGGAGGAAGUCGAGAGUAGGUGAAGUGAAGAUCUAACGUAACUUGAAUUACAUUAUAUUUUUCAUUUAUACCAAAACAAAUAACAGAAGUGAAGGAACUUAAGUUCCAUCACUCCACUUAAACCAAAACAAACAUGCUCUUAGUGGUUGAUACUCAGGUAUCAAAUUUUAAUUUUAAUUGAUUCAUAUUUUCAGCUAAGUAUCCAGCAAUCCCAAUACACAUUAGAAUAGUUUUACAUGUCGACGAGGGGAAGAACCAAAAGAAUAUACGUACAAAAAUAGCUGUGGAUGGGCUAGCUCUAGUUACAUUUUAUAGUUGAUCCUGUAGAUUUUGAACAUAUAAUAAUACUUUGUCUUACAAUACAAUAAUGAAACUGCAGGUCGUAAUUGCUGAUGCCGCAAUCAAUGCGUUCAGAAGAAAUUACGAUCUGUAACAGCAGGUCUGCAGUUACCAGAUUCGGCCAUUCACCCUGCAAGAACUACCAUUUCUGACAACCAAUAACAUGCUGAUCAAAAUUCACAUAGUAUAUAUACAGCAUAUUAGGUAGGAUUAAUUAAUUCAAAGCUUUAUGCACCAAAAUCUUGGGUUUAGCUACAUUUUGUACAUGCAUGUUAAAUUUAUCAGUCUUAUGUUGUUUCUACUUUUCUAGUAUAUUUUAUUACAGGUCAUUUGGUUGUAUGUAGUUGUAACUGUAUUGUAGUUAUAACUAUAUGCAAAUAUAAAUUCGGUGUUUGAUUUUAUAUAUUUAAUUCCAACUACAGCAGUUGGAAAGAGCAACUUUAGGUAAAAGAUAAGCUUACGUACAUCAUUAAUUAUUUUAAAAUAAAAAUAUAUAUACUUUUUUAUAUUAGAGGUAAUCUCAUCAUCCUAUAUAUAAANNNNNNNNNNNNNUAAUCUCAAUAUAUAUAUAUAUAUAUAUAUAUAUAUAUAUAUAUAUAUAUAUUUAUUUAUUUAUUUAUAUAUAUAUAUAAUAGUAAAAAUUUAACUCAACUGAAUGAAAUAAAUUAUUUGUGGUAGCACCGCUUUUUACUAUAUCUAACCAAACAGGAUACAUAUAGUUGCAAUUGUUGUAUUUUCAACUGCAUUCAUCUUCAAAUAUACUAUAUUUGUAAUUAUAUCUAACCAAACGAAGAAUUACAGUAGAAACCAGAGGCUCGAACUUUUCUUUAACUUUUUUUUUUGGAAGGCACUGGCAUUGAUUUCAACCGUUAAUCUCUUAGUUAGUCAUUGCGAGUAAUAUUAUUAUGUUAGUAAUUACUUUUAAAGCUGCUUUUAAUAUUAUCAAAGUAGAUAUAUUUUUUCUACCCACCAAUUGAGCUUUUGCAAUAUUAGAAAUAGCUUUGGCAAUAUUAAUUUUCUUUUUUUAGUAGAGAUAUAUUAUGAAGAGCACUGUGUUGAUGUGUUUCAAUACAAUUAACAAGGCCUUUUGAUGAUUUUAUACAUGUUGUCCAAGGCAACAUAUGAGUUUGCAAAUCCAUACUUCUUUAAAAGGGAGUUUUUCUUUUUUUUUUUUUUUUUCUUUCCAAAAAUACUCCUCAAUUGAAAUAUAAUGAUAAAAAAGAUGAAAUGAUAUUAUGAUCUUAAUAUCUGUACGAUCUGAGUUUUAUAUAUGUAUAUGUGACAAUCAUUUGAUAUUUUUAAUUUUUUUAAUGAUAUUAUAUAGACAAAUUUUAAACCAUUAGAUUUUCAUCUAAUGGAUGAGAGUCACAAUAUCUAUCAUUUUUAUGAUAGAAUUAUCCCUUCUAUAAGGUUUCUAACUCCAUAAAAGGCAAGUUUUUCUAAAUGCACAUCAAACUCCACUUUCUCACGUCAAAAUUCUCUCUUCCCCACAAAGAUUAUGCAAUUUUUUUCUUUUCUAUUCCGAAAAAAAUACUUUUCCUUUUAGGAAUCUUUUUUCCCUAUGUACUUCUCUGUAUCCUUCUCUUAUCAUAAAUUUUUUUUAUCAAACUUCUUCAUUGUUCUCUCUAUCUGCAUAUUGCGUCAGUGUCGAGUGUAAGCAUGAAUACCAGUGUAUUGUAAGUGAUUUCUCGCGCCUUCGUCGGAUAAUGCGCUCUACGCAUAGUCAUUAAUAAUAGUCGUUGACGCAUGCAUUAUCCACAAUUCCGACUUAGAUACACAAGUCUUCGCCAAUUAAUUUACUUGAUUUUUUUUUUUAAAUAUACUAACCAAAAGAGAACCUAUUCACUAUUCUCUUUUUUUUUUUUAAUCUUGCUUUCUAUUUUUUAUUUAUAUUAGUUGAUGUUUUAUUAUUUUUUUAAAUUUUUUGACACUAAAAGAACAAUUCAAAUCUCAAACUACAAAAUCCAAAUUCAUUUUUUUAAAAAAAUAAAUUAAAAAUAUCAAAACCUAUUCAUGAUGAUAAAAAAAAAACCUAACAAUAUGAAAUUGAACAAAUUAUCUUGUUUUUUGAAAAAUUUAAAAAAUUAGAUAAUUUUUAAAAUUAAAUAAAUUAUUUUUAAAAUUUUUUUAUUUUUUUAUUGCACGUAUCCCAAGCAUUGCCCUAAUACGACCAAAUUUAGGCCCAUGUUGCCUAAAUGGAUCGGACUAUCCAACACAGCCCAUUAUGAAAGCCCGGUCCAUUCCACUCAUUGUGCCACGUGUCGUUUAAUCAGCCCCCUAACACAGCUAUCUCCUGUUCGGAGUCCAUCACCUCUGCUGUCUCAAACACGGGAGAGUCCCAUCGCGAAAUGAAGCGAAGAAGCGUCUAGAAGCGCCAUCUCAUCCGUCCAUUUACCAUCGGACGAGCGGGACUCCACCUAAGCAUCAGCGAAGACCCGGGCCUUCUAGAGCGUUCCUCUCCACCGCCUAUGUCCCUCUCUACUCCUCACGCCCCACCUCCCCACCCUUAUUAAUCUUGUCCUAUAUUCUCCGACGAGCCCCAAAGCCCGGCCUACUCCGAUCCCGUUGAUUAGGGUUAGGGUUUUUCCGAUCCCUUUUGAUCGCCUCCCCGAAUAGCGAUUACGGUUUCGAUCCCGUCGUCGUCGUCGUCGUCGUCUUCUUCGUUGGAUCCAGGGGAGUCGAUUUAGGGUUUGGCCGCGAAGAUGUUCGGGAGGGCGCCGAAGAAGAGCGACAACACGAGGUACUAUGAGAUCCUCGGCGUGUCGAAGAACGCGUCGCAGGAGGAUCUGAAGAAGGCCUACCGCAAAGCCGCGAUCAAGAACCAUCCCGACAAGGGUGGAGACCCCGAGAAGGUAAAAAGCCGCCCCCUUUGUUUUCAUCCUCUGUGACCUCUCUCUGAUUUAUAAUGGCUGCGUGGUUAUGAAUUCGUAGAUCUGUGAAUUAUGUUGCUGAUUUUGUAAUUUGGUUUGAUUUGCUCUCAUUAUUUUUAUUACUUUUUGAUGGAUCGGGUAUUGUAUCUGAGUCAUUCUUUUCGAUCUUCCUUCAUUUUUGUUUGUGCUUGCUGUAACUGCUGAUAUAUGAGAGAUCAAAUGGGUUUUCUGAAACGAAAUAUCAUUUCAAUACCGAGUUUUAGAGAUUUAGUAUCUCCGAUCUCCUUAUAAGUUGCCUGGAACCACUUCAUUUUGCCCUUACGUUUCUCGAAAUAUUUGGGAUUGUGACCUACGUAACCUGAUGCGAUGUGGAUUUUGUUCAUCUGUUCUAAUUUGCUUACGCAUGUAUUGGAUCUUGGCUAGCGAAGAUGGGGCUUUUAUUUGGUAUGAGUUGAAUCUUAUCUGUAUGUUACGUUUUGUUUGCAGUAACAAAUAGUUUAAGAGUUGUUUCCUGUUUUUGGCAUUUAUGUUAGUUUGUUAAAGCUACUAGGCCGUCGCUGUAGUGCUGUACCAAUCUACGUUUCUUGUUAAGCUUGAGUUCUAUAUCUGUAAAAUGGAUCGCUGACGCGUUGUGUCGUCGGUUUCAGUUCAAGGAAUUGGCCCAGGCAUACGAAGUGUUGAGUGAUCCUGAGAAGCGUGAGAUCUACGAUCAGUACGGCGAGGAUGCCCUCAAGGAAGGAAUGGGCGGAGGAGGAAUGCACGACCCGUUUGAUAUCUUCCAAUCCUUCUUCGGCGGGAGCCCCUUCGGAGGUAUGCAUCACGUCCCGCAGCAAGCAUUUCUAUAUCUCUUUUGUGCCUUAGCAAUACUGUGCAUUGAUGUGUGAAUGAACAGGUGGUGGCAGCAGCAGGGGCCGUAGGCAGAGGAGGGGAGAAGAUGUGGUUCAUCCCCUAAAAGUUUCUCUAGAGGACCUUUACAAUGGGACCUCUAAGAAGCUCUCUCUUUCUAGAAAUGUUAUUUGCUCCAAGUGCAAGGGGUGAGUAGUAACCUUCUAGAUUUACUUAAACUCCUUGUCUAUUCCUGCAUCACUGCUGAUAACAUAGGUACUGGUGAAAUUUGCAGUAAAGGUUCGAAAUCUGGUGCAUCGAUGAAAUGCGCGGGAUGUCAGGGGUCAGGCAUGAAGGUUACUAUUCGUCAGCUGGGCCCUGGUAUGAUUCAACAGAUGCAGCACCCUUGCAAUGAGUGCAAAGGGACUGGCGAGACCAUCAGCGAGAAAGAUCGGUGCCCACAGUGCAAGGGCGAGAAGGUUGUUCAGGAGAAGAAGGUUUUGGAGGUUGUUGUCGAGAAGGGUAUGCAGAAUGGACAGAAGAUCACUUUCCCUGGGGAGGCAGAUGAGGCGGUAUGUUGUACUAUCAUUUUUCUGAAAUAGAGGUGCUAGAGUUGCUUGUGUUUUUUGUAAUCGCUGAAGACAUUGUUACCUAUUUAGGAAAAAUUUUAGCUUGAUGUUUGAGAUUCCGUGCUCUGUUUUGAUGAAGAGAAUGGGGAGAAGAGAAAAGAACUUGCAAGAGUAAAUUAUUUUGGGUUGUUUGCAUCCAAUUGAAGUUUUGGUUUGAACUUAUGACGAUAGAAUGGAUUAGGAGAAAGUGGUAGUUUGGGAGAAUUUAAAUUCCUGGAGACUUGAAAGCUCAUUUUUCUUUCUUGAAUAGCAGAGAAAAGGAGGCAGAGGAAAAGUAGACAAUCAAAACCAUAAUUCUCUAUUCUCUUUAGUCUCUUUACAUGAGUCCAUCCAAACAAACAACUUUCCAUCGCUCCAAGUUUGGGGCAUUGGCUCUCUGCAAUCUUUUGUUGACUUACUCUGUUGUUGUCAUGCAGCCUGACACGGUCACUGGUGACAUCGUAUUCGUCCUCCAACAGAAAGAACACCCGAAGUUCAAGAGAAAGGGCGACGAUCUCUUUCUUGAACACACCCUCUCACUCACAGAGGCCCUAUGCGGAUUCCAGUUUGUUUUGACUCAUCUAGAUAACAGGCAGCUGCUCAUCAAAUCAAACCCUGGUGAAGUAGUCAAGCCAGGUGUGCACUCUAAAACGCUCUCCCAGCUGAUCUUUAAGUCAAUACCCUUUGCUAAUUCUAAUAUGAUUUCUUAACGCAGACCAAUUUAAGGCAAUAAACGAUGAGGGCAUGCCGGUGUACCAGAGGCCGUUCAUGCGGGGAAAGCUCUAUAUCCACUUCACUGUGGAGUUCCCCGACUCGUUGACCCUAGAGCAGGUCAAAGCACUCGAGGCCGUGCUCCCGCCAAAGCCCGUGUCGGAGCUUACCGACAUGGAGCUUGACGAGUGCGAGGAAACCACGCUGCACGAUGUCAACAUUGAAGAGGAGAUGAGGAGGAAGCAGGCGCAGGCUCAGGAGGCCUACGAGGAGGACGAGGAGGCCCACGGUGGCGCCCAGAGAGUGCAAUGCGCGCAGCAGUAAACGGAGCGUUACCUGCCUUACAGGUAUUGGCUGGGGUCUAUAACUAUGAUUUUUGGGUCAUAAGACUCGCGUAAUUGCGUUUUAUGUCAUAAAAUCUUGUGGCUGUGGACAGUAUAUUACCAGCUGAAGUAGGGAGGGUGCUUCAGACUCACCCUCAGACUUACUUUUCCCUCUGUUGCUUUGCCGCCAAAUAUCUGAUUAGGAACUUCUAUUACCUUAGUUUUUUCUGUCUGUAAUGCUGUCGACGGUGGUGAGUGCGCGUAUGUUUUUGGGAUUGGUUUUCUACGCUCAAUUUCUCAUUUCCUUGCUUGGUAAAGUUGCGCACAAGCCUUUUCUCUCGAGGAUCCAACAGGCGCCACGGCACGUGUGAAGCACCUAAGAAGAAAAUUUUUGAUUUUGAAUGAAGAGCGGGGAUUGUUGUAUGGGAUGUUGUGGAAUCGGAGUCUCUCUCUCUCUUUUUAACAGUAUGCCACCUGAGAGUGUUAUUUCUUACCUGUUGCAAUUCAAUAGUAAUAGGCAGCGACUUGUUAGAUUUUCUUCAAGAGCGAGCUGGAGGGGGUUGAAGAUUGACGAUGGCACGGUGGUUGGAUGUUUUGGGGGUUUGCAUUUGCGUUGUGCGAAUGAUGAAGGAAUUUGAUUCUUUUGUCCGAACCCGGGCUGUUGUGCACAAUUUUUAUGGCUGUUGUGCAUUGAUACUUGGUCACAGGUGAACGGAAAUUAGUAAGAAUGACACGGCAAGUAAGCAGGUCCUUGUUUUCAGGCCAGUGUUUCAGAUUCUUAGACCUGUUUGGCGUUGGUUCCACUUUCGUAUUUAGUCUAUUGUUUGCACCCUUUCCCUUGUUUGAGGACUCACUAACAAAUGAAAAGUUGUAGGGGGGCCUUCUCCUCCGAGUAGGGAGGUAUGAAAAUUUUAUUAUUGGAUUCAAUCCUGCUUUGUUUCGAUUGGGAGAUUUGCUGACUUUGUCCUGCGCAAACAAAAACUUUUUGAAGAGAGUUAAUUCUCAGAUAGUCGAGGGACUCGCAUUUUGCUUGGUCUACAUUUGUUAAUCCUUCUGCGUGUGGCACUCAUAAUUGUGACGUUCUUGAUGGUAAUAAUAAUAUCAUUAUUCAAAAACGUGGAGCAUGUGGAGAUUCCCUUCUUAUUUUUUUCUUCCUCUUUUCCUCUCACUGACUGCUGGACUUGAAGUUUAAGGUGUCAUCAUCGAAUACAGCAUGCUGGGACACGCGGGAAUCAAUUAUUUAGGAAUUAAUUUCUAACACCAGCCAUUAUUUUCGAAUCUAGAUUUUACCGUUUAUUCAUUCACCACUGUUUAGUACAGUUGGUUGGUAUCUGAAUUACCAAUUAAGAGUUUAGUGCUGCAAUCUUCAAUAGAUCUUAUACAAUCACAAAAAAAAAAAAAAAAAAAAAAAAAAAAAAAAAAAAAAAAAAAAAUCAAAUAGAACCUAACUACUCUUCGAUGCAAAGUAGUUUCACUAUUUUUUCAUUUUUUAUAGGCUCAGAAGACUAUCCUCAUACCGUGCACCCAUGUAUAAAAUAUACUAGCAUAACACCCAUGUAUAAAAUAUACUAGCAUAACAAUGACCUGUGGCCACGAGAAACACGCACGGCCUUUCACAACCAUGCACCAGAAUCAUCUAAAAUCAUAACUACCUUGGAUUAUGCCCUAUGCUUGUGGCUAAGCUUGUACCACUAUCAAAGCACAAGGGCUCGCUUACAUGCAUAUUUAUGCAAAUAUAUAUAUGUCCAAUCUAGUAUAAUUGUAAUUCGACUCUAAUUUAAAUCCAAAAUUCAUUCAACUUAUCUCAUAUAGAUUUAAAUAUCCAUCCUAAUAUAACUAUAACUUUAAUAAAAUCCUACCAGUUUUAAUCAUUUCCUAUCGGCGUGAUCUUCCGGACAAAAACACCAUCUGAUGAUUGAGACCUGAUUUGAAUAAUUGUAAACUCCAAAACUGUGUGAUUAUUGAGACCUGAUUUGAAUCAUUCUAACACGCAUCCCGACUCGCCUUUAGAUUCGGGCCAGUUGUAGACUUAAAAGUAGCAGUUUGGCACAAUCCAAUUUUGGUGCAACUUGUUUUUUUUUUUUUUUUUUUUUUUUUUUUUCCACAUUGAUAAUAAAUAGUAUCUAAAAUCUAAAAUCUAAAAUAUUUAGUUGAAAGGUGCCAAAUUAGUAAGAUGGGAAACAGGAAGGAUCCUCCAUUUUGCCAGCACAGUAUAUAAGAAAUUAUAGCAAAAUUGUUAACUUCAGUUGUUGAUCACUCUGUCUUUUAAAAAUGGAUGCAAAAAUGAUACUCUUCUCCUUUUCUUUUCCAUAUGAAUUAUUUGUUGCUCCAUUGUAAAGUUCAAUUGAUUAAGUGCCACUUAAAUAGUUUUAUUUGAAAAAAAAAGCUACUAUUUAAUUUUCAACAGCAUUAAAGUUUCAUAUUAGAGCUUCUGUCUUCUGGAACUUAAAAUCUUCUAAUAAUAGAAAUUUAUCUCAGCUUUCAACUGCGAUAAAACUUCUGACUUUCUAUUUGUCAGAUGAUUGAUUGUAGCUUACUAAGAUUUUUUUUUUCCUUUUUUUGAAUCACUAGUAAUACAAUUAUCUAAUUUUUAAUUUGUUUCUAGUUACCUGUUAUUGUUGCAUCAAUUAAAAAGUAGGUUGAAUAGGUCAUAUUACUUUUUUUUUUUUGGCUGAUAAUGACUGGUAAUCUAGUAACUAAUGUGUUGCUUAUUUAAGUAAAUUAAAGUCCUUAUCUUCAAAUAUAAACUAGAGCUCUGUGACUGUGAGCCUGAUUAAACAAGUCCCUUUCUUUUUUGGAAAUCUAAUCUAAAUUCUUCUUAAUUUUUUCUUAUUCAUAAUUAGAGAAGAUCUCAAUACUUAGGUGAAAAAUAUGAUUAAAAACUUUUUUUGUAGCCAAAUCGUAUAACUAAUCAGCACCUUAUAGAUUCUGUGCUUUUCCUUUUCUUCCAAGGAAAGCAAGAAUCUUCAUUCUUGUAAUUAAUUGAUAGCAAAAGAUUCUUUUUACUAUCAAAUUUUUAACCCUUUGAUGAGAAAUUGUAGGGUUAGGAUGAUAUUAGUUUCUUAGGGUUGAGUGGUCCCUUUAGGAUUGAGUCAUCCCCACUCGGUUAUAAUAUUAAUCUAAUUGUUAGAAAUGAUGAAUAAAAUUGAUCCAAAAGCUAAAAACUUAAUAGCAAAAAAGACCUUUUGCUAUCAAUAGUAUUCUAGCCCAACUCUCUCUCUCUCUCUCUCUCUCUCUCUCUCUCUCUCUAUAUAUAUAUAUAUAUAUGUAUGACUUAGACUUCAAUACUAUAGUCUUAUUUUCAAUUUUAGAAUGUUCAAAUUAACGAUUUACAAUGUUAAAAUUAAUCUAAGUAUUUAAAGUUUUAAAAAUAAAAUUUUAUAUUUUUUUCGACAUAAUUCAUUUUUUCCGACUCAUUUUGAGACUGGGAAGCAUAGGCACCACUCUCAAGAGUCACUUUUAUUUUAUAAUCAAAUAAUUUCAAAUUUUUUAAUUUUUAAUGGCUAUUGUGACGAGUUUAUAGUUUAACAGUAUAGAAAAAUUUAAAUUUAUUCAAAUUUUGAUAAAAAAAUUAUUUUAAACUAUCUAGAUUAAGGUCAUCAUCCUUAAUCUUGAAUUAAAAAGUCUCAUCCUCAAAUUUUCAAGAUUGUUCAAUUUCUACCAUUCAUUUUUACAUGAUUUACUUACUAAGUAAAUAAUAUAAAAAAAUUAAAAAUUUAUUCCUAUAAUCAUAUAUCGUAGAUCAUAUUUAACGGUAUGGAUCAUUAAUUUAAACAUCCUAAGAUAAAAAAGGAGGUUAUAGUACUGGAGCUCCAGUACUUAACCCUAGGGGACUCUUAUCCUCUUAACCGGAAACCAAUCAUUUUAAUCGCGCAUUUCUUCAUCCAACGGCCGAAAACUUAUAAGUACAAAGAUAUUUAUACUCAUAAAAAUAUAGUAGCUCUACUCUCUCUCUCUCUCUAUAUAUAUAUAUACAUACAACAUAUAUUUACCAUUUUUUUUUUUUGUGAGAAAUAUUUACCAUAUAAAUAAUUCACAUUUUUUGAGUAGAAAAAAAGUUUUGAGAAUCCUAGGUGUUCAAGUAAAGUGUUUUAUAGUUGGGCAAGCUAAGAAUCCUGCAAGAUUGAAGAUGCCUUUCAAAAGGUGUUGGAUGUUUGCUUUACUCAACUCUAAUAACAAAAAAAAAAAAAAAAAGAAACAAAAAAAAAAAGAAGAAUAUAAAUUAAAGUGUGAUGACACCUCCAAGUGCUAUAACUGAUUUAGAAAUAGGCCCAUGAACUUUAUUUUGUAGCAUUUUGUUACAGUUUUAAUAAAAUUUCAGAUCUGAUUUGCUUUGAUUUCAGAAAUAUUCAUUCCAACUUAAACUUUUUCAAUAGCAUUUGCAUUUUUUACCAACUAUUUUCGAAGUCAAUUAAGUAGGAAUUUUUAUUUUCGAGUUAAUUACUUAUUUUAGUAAAUUUAUAAUUACGAGAAUUACAUGAAAUAUACUAACUAAAUUUAUAAAGAUAAACAUGGCAUUCAAAAUUUAGAAUUAAAGUGUUUAGCCGACUCAAAUGGAACAAAUUGAAAGAUUGGCUAGUAAUUAAAGUCAAAAUUAUGAAAGAUUGAAUAAUAACUCAAAAUGAUCUAUACUUUAGAUAAGUUCUAUAUAUUGUUACCGUAUAUUAAUAUGCUAGCCGAGAGCGAAGGUUCAUGUAUUUUAUUUUUUAAACACACAUGCGAGAAUUUUAAUGUCUGGCCUUAUAAAUAGUUACUGUACCAUUCUAAAAAUUAUUUAUUAUUGGUGUAGUACGCGGCGAAAGUAUUCGUUCUUAAUUUUUAUGGAAGCGAUUCGCAUCAGAACACGAUGAUUUCGAAUCGUAGAGGUUGAUUUACGUGUCCUCGAAUCGCUCACGAAGGUUUUCUAACGCUCCAAAUCUACGGUAAAUCAAAUUACGAACGAGCACAAUCUCUAAUACCAUUAAAAAUCCUAUGAAAUAAUAGGUUAAAAGAAAAUGUGAUUUCUCACUCUUAACAAGAUGACUCAAAAAUUACUCACGAAUUUAUGAGUAAUUUUUUUUUUCUAUUUCUUUUGUUAUUAUUUUUAUGAGAGAAUAAUCCGUAUAUUUAUAAAGGGAUCCCAAACCCUAAUAUAUAAGUAAGAGAUUGGGACAAAUCCGUUUAUAAUUGUUCCACUAAUAUGGUUAGAACAUAUUUAUAAUUAGCUUUUUAAUCUAAAAGUGAAAUUAAUUUUAAUCCAAUUAGAUAAUAUAAUAACUGUCGGGUCGAGUCUAAUUAUAAGCGCGUCGAAUUCGAUUUAACUGAAUGCUAACAAUUGGAGUAAUCAUAUAUUUUAGCCAUAUAUGUAAAAAGAUUCAACUGCAUCUCCUCUUUAGAACGUGAAGUGCACGUCAAAGAAGCUGCGGAACAAAGAGAGCUUCACCAUUAAAAGACAAAAGAAACUGCGAAAGCAACACAUAUCUACAACACCCUCUCCCAAAAAACCCAAAAAAAAAAGAAUAAAAAACGAAAAUAAAAAACAAAAACUUCAAAUGCAUGAAUAGAAAUCCAUCUCCAUAACCAUGAUAUUGAAAAAUCACAUACUUCGCAGGUAAAAGCAAAAGGGUAAAUUAAUGGAUAUAUAUUAUCAUGAUUUACGACUUAGUUUGGGUACUUUAUUCUUAUAUUAGUUUUUUUUUUUUUUUUUUUCAAAUAUGAUUAGAAGUUAUUUUACAAUGGAGUUUUCUUUUUACAUAAAAACUCUCAGCAACUGAAGCCUUUAUUAUUUUAAGGGGACUAAGAUGUCAUUUGGAGAUAGUAGAGGGGCCUCUGUAAAUUUUACCCAAAAUAAAAAAUAAAAUGCAUAGAUCCAUAGAGACCAUGCAUAAGGAAAGAAAAUGGGAGAGAGCAUUGACCUCGAAAAACCUUCCCCAACUAGAACUUAGAAAUUUGCUUUAUAGAUUGACUAUAUCUACCACAGCUGUUUAAGUACUCGAUUAUUGGUAUUAAUAUUUUAAAUUCGAAAUCUAGUUAUUUCGUAUUUCUAUUUGAGUUUAUUUAAAAAAAAUAAAUACAACAACUAAUUUAGAGAUGAAUUGGUAGUAUAGUAAUAAUUCAAUAAUAAAAAGUGAAUUAUAAUCACUAUAUAUAUAAUAUUAAUAAUAUUUUAGUUAAACUCUCUCUCUCUCUUUAUAUAAUUUAGUGAAAACUUUAAAUAUCUCUCCUGUGGUUUCGCACUUUUACACUUUAGUACCUUGUGAUUUAAAAUAUAUCAAAUAAGUACCAUAUGGUUUCACACUUUCUCAUUUUAGUACCCUGCGAUUUCAAGUGUAUCAAUUUAGUACCAUGUGGUUUCAAUUUUGUACCAAUUUAGUACCAUGUGGUUUCAGUUUUCUCUUUUAUUAUCCAUUUCGGAGUAUAUAACUUAACGAAAUAUUAAACCACAAGGUACUAAAGUGAGAAAGUGCGAAACCACAGGGUACUAACUUGAUACACUUUAAACCACAAGGUACUAAAAUGAAAGUGCGAAACUACAGAAUACUAACUUGAUACACUUUAAAUCACAGGGUACUAAAAUGAAAGUGCGAAACUACAGAAUACUAACUUGAUACACUUUAAAUCAUAUGGUACUAAAAUGAAAAAGUGCGAAACCAUAUGGAGUAUUUGAAGUUUUUCUAUAUAUAUAUAUAUAUAUAUAUAUAUAUAUAUAUAUAUGAGUAGGGCUAGAAUACUUGUAAAAGUAUCAUGAGGGUGAUACUUGUGUGUUUUUAGCCCUUGGAUGGAGAGAUGUGAGGUUGAGAUGAUGGUGGUAGGUGGUGGUAGGUGGAAUAGUGUUUAAUCCAAGGACUAUUAAUAAUUAAAAAGUAGAUCCAAUGGCUUAAAACUUAAUAGCACCAUGAUAGUGAUACUUGUAAAAGUAUCAUAGCUCAACUCUAUAUAUAUUAUGUAUAUAUGUAUAUCCAAUGACUUUUUUUUUAAAAUUUU
rnacentral:lncRNA from 1 species